UAAUUGGGCGUUAAGUUGCAGGGUAUAGACCCGAAACCCGGUGAUCUAGCCAUGGGCAGGUUGAAGGUUGGGUAACACUAACUGGAGGACCGAACCGACUAAUGUUGAAAAAUUAGCGGAUGACCUGUGGCUGGGGGUGAAAGGCCAAUCAAACCGGGAGAUAGCUGGUUCUCCCCGAAAGCUAUUUAGGUAGCGCCUCGUGAAUUCAUCUCCGGGGGUAGAGCACUGUUUCGGCUAGGGGGCCAUCCCGGCUUACCAACCCGAUGCAAACUGCGAAUACCGGAGAAUGUUAUCACGGGAGACACACGGCGGGUGCUAACGUCCGUCGUGAAGAGGGAAACAACCCAGACCGCCAGCUAAGGUCCCAAAGUCAUGGUUAAGUGGGAAACGAUGUGGGAAGGCCCAGACAGCCAGGAUGUUGGCUUAGAAGCAGCCAUCAUUUAAAGAAAGCGUAAUAGCUCACUGGUCGAGUCGGCCUGCGCGGAAGAUGUAACGGGGCUAAACCAUGCACCGAAGCUGCGGCAGCGAACGUAUCACCCAAGACAACUUUACGGAGUUGACGAUUGACGGAGCGAAGCGACGUCAAAGCGUUCAUUAAAGUCGAGUUGGCUUAGGGAUACGUUCGUUGGGUAGGGGAGCGUUCUGUAAGCCUGUGAAGGUGUGUCGUGAGGCAUGCUGGAGGUAUCAGAAGUGCGAAUGCUGACAUAAGUAACGAUAAAGCGGGUGAAAAGCCCGCUCGCCGGAAGACCAAGGGUUCCUGUCCAACGUUAAUCGGGGCAGGGUGAGUCGACCCCUAAGGCGAGGCCGAAAGGCGUAGUCGAUGGGAAACGGGUUAAUAUUCCCGUACUUGGUGUUACUGCGAAGGGGGGACGGAGAAGGCUAUGUUGGCCGGGCGACGGUUGUCCCGGUUUAAGCGUGUAGGUGUGUGUUCCAGGUAAAUCCGGUUCACUUUAACACUGAGGCGUGACGACGAGGCACUACGGUGCUGAAGCAACAAAUGCCCUGCUUCCAGGAAAAGCCUCUAAGCAUCAGGUAACACGAAAUCGUACCCCAAACCGACAC
rnacentral:rRNA from 1 species